AUUGAACGCUGGCGGCGUGCUUAACACAUGCAAGUCGAUCGGUAACGCGGGGGCAACCCCGGCGACGAGAGGCGGACGGGUGAGGAACGCUUGGGAAUCUGCCUAUCGGCGGGGGACAACCCGGGGAAACCCGGGCUAAUACCGCAUACGCUCUACGGAGGAAAGCCGGGGACCGCAAGGCCUGGCACUGAUAGAUGAGCCCAAGUCGGAUUAGCUAGUUGGCGGGGUAACGGCCCACCAAGGCGACGAUCCGUAGCUGGUCUGAGAGGACGAUCAGCCACACCGGAACUGAGACACGGUCCGGACUCCUACGGGAGGCAGCAGUGGGGAAUAUUGGACAAUGGGGGAAACCCUGAUCCAGCGACGCCGCGUGGGUGAAGAAGGCCUGCGGGUUGUAAAGCCCUUUCGGUAGGGACGAAAGCUCUUGCUCUAACAAAGCAGGAGGUUGACUUAACCUACAUAAGAAGCACCGGCUAACUCUGUGCCAGCCGCCGCGGUAACAC
rnacentral:rRNA from 1 species